UGCCUUUCCCCCAGUAGUCAAAAGCGUUGCCGUCUCGAGCACAAUAAUAAACAGCAGAGUCUUCAGUCUUCAGACUGUUCAUCUGCAGAUACAGCUGCUGUUUGCUGUUGUCUCUGGAGAUAGUGAACCGGCCUCGAAAUGACUGAGAAUAGUA